GGGUCUGUGGUCUAGCCUGGUUAUGAGAUGUUUACAAAUCGUAUUAUCUAACAAAUGCUGCCCUUACAAGGCGGAGUUCGCAAGUUCAAAUCUUGCCAGACCCA
rnacentral:tRNA from 1 species